AUCACUGUAUGUUUCAUGAUCUUCAUGUUCUGAGUCUGAGUGAGAUGAUGAGCUAUCACUCGAGUCAAGGGAAGUUUUGUACAACUCAAGAAUAUCACAUCUACAUUCACUACAUGGGGUAAUUGCAUGUCCAUGAGUCUCUGCAGUCACAGAGACACUUGCAAGAUAUUGCACAGUUGUCCAUAGCACUCAUGACUUCAGUAAAGCUCAACUCGUCGACAUACGUUGGUUCUGACAUACUGUUUCAUUUCAUCCGAAAUAUUCCGCCUGCCACUGAGACAUUGUCUAAAUUUCAUGAGAAGAGCAUGUGCCUGCUUUUCUGGAUCCCUGCCUGCUCCGUCCUUGUCUCUUGAAUAUAAUCCUCAACAUUAUUGGCUGGACCAUAGUGGAUGACGGUUUCCACACUUUCUUAGCAUUGUGUAUACACAACGUAAUUAACGGAUUCUGACAUCAGCCACAUAUCUCGGACCACCCCACGAGUCUCUCUUAACCGUUCAAUUAACGUUCCGCUUGGUGUUGCCACACCUGUCCGCCAUCUGCUGUUGAGAUACUGUAACGGUUCUCGUCUGAAAAGAGGACUUCUCCCACUGCUGGUGCUGUGCUACCCACUGAAGACGGUCCAGGAAACAAAGAAGAAGACUGAAAGGAUACCACUGGGAGUGCUUCAGUGAGGACCUCAGUGACCGUUCUCCAUCACAGUAGGUGCUCAGCGGAGGGGACUACCUCACCCUUGAGAGGCAGAAACAAGCCAAUCAUGCACUUACGAGAUGGACCUACACCAAGUUCCAGAUUACAAGGACUUGUUCCAAAGAUGGAAGAGUUCCAUAACGAAGCUGAAUUUCUAAAGGUAUAUGUAAUUAACUGCAUUUUCUGUAAUUGCGAUUUAACAAAAGAAGGACAGUUAUUGUGUGGUUUGUAAAUUGGUUUAUUGUUUUGUUGCAAAAGUAACGGAUUAGUCUUUGUGUAAUACCUGAC